rnacentral:rRNA from 1 species
UACGUAGGGGGCGGAGCGUUGUCCGGAAUCAUUGGGCGUAAAGCGCGUGUAGGCGGCCCGGUAAGUCCGCUGUGAAAGUCCAGGGCUCAACCCUGGGGAUGCCCGGUCGAUACUGCCGGACUAGAGUUCGGAAGAGGCGAGUGGAAUUCCCGGUGUAGCGGUGAAAUGCGCAGAUAUCGGGAGGAACACCUAUGGCGAAGGCAGCUCGCUGGGACGUUACUGACGCUGAGACGCGAAAGCGUGGGGAGCAAACAGG